rnacentral:misc_RNA from 1 species
UACAGAGGCCCCAAGCGUUAGGCGGAAUCACUGGGCUUAAAGCGUGUGUAGGCGGGUUGGUAAGUAUCUUGUGAAAUCCCACGGCUUAACCGUGGAAUUGCUUGGUAUACUGCCGAUCUUGAGUCAUCUAGGGGCAACCGGAACUGAUGGUGGAGCGGUGAAAUGCAUAGAUAUCAUCAGGAACGCCAAUGGUGCAGACAGGUUGCUGGGGAUGUACUGACGCUGAGGCACGAAAGCCAGGGGAGCAAACGGG